GGUCGCUCCAUUACUGCAAGUUCAUUAGGACUAAGUAUGUCGUAUCCACGUUCCGUAAUCCUUGUGGCAAUGAACGUGUGUCUGGGCAAUUCCCAAAAGGCUAGUAUCUUACCAAAUAUCCCAAAUCGCGAGUUAUUUUCAAUAUGGAGCCAAUCCUUAUCCUUAUCCUCCAAUCCAAGCUCGACCUAAUUCAGUACCAUCAUCCUCAUGAGGAUUUUUCCAAUGUUCUACCCUAAACUACC
rnacentral:lncRNA from 1 species